rnacentral:lncRNA from 1 species
CUUUUGAUUUGUCCAAAUCAUGUACAUGUCAUUUAAAUAUGAAUAAAGGCGUUAUGUUUUAUCAUAUGCUGUUGAUUAUAUUUAUGAUAAACUCCUUAGAUUAGGGCAAUGGUUUUAAGACUAUGAUGAGAUCAUACUAGUGAGAUUUAAAAUCCUAAAAUCCUAAUCUUAAAUAUUCCCAGUCAUUGGUACAUUGAGUCGGGGAUCAAUGAUUACCGGAAAGACUGGCAUGUCUUAUGUAUGCUCGAUGCAGAGGAUGAUUGAUCUCACAAUCAUUUGUGUGGAGAUACUAAUACAAAGAUGUGGGUGCUCAUUAGAGGAAUGAGUUUACUGAAUUGACCUACAAANNNNNNNNNNNNNNNNNNNNAGUCGAUUUCAUCGUCCUUGAUAUGGAACCUAUGCCCAAUCUCAAGAAACAGAUCCCCAUGAUUCUUGGUCGUCCCUUUCUAGCUACAGCCAAUGCAUGUAUUAACUGUAGAACGGGGGUGAUGGAUGUAUCCUUUGGGAACAUGAAAGUCAAACCGAAUGUAUUCCACGCCUCCGAUCAACCUGCAAGGGAAGAUGAGUGUUUUCUAGUAGACAGAAUGGACGAUCUUGUAGAAGAAGCCCUUCCCUAUAUUCUGACAGAUGAUCCUCUGGAAGCAUGUCUAGCCCAUUUUGACAUUGAUAAUCUUGAUUUAAACAAUGCCAUAAAAGAAGUCAAUGUCCUACUUGACAAUCUGUCUCUCACAAAGUCUCAUCCUUGGCAUGUCCGAUAUGAACCUCUUCCUACUCUUUCUAGUACACUACAGUGCCCCUCCAUCGAGUCCCCUCCCAAACUUGAGUUAAAACCACUUCCGGUAACCCUUAAGUAUGCUUUUCUAGGACCCGAAGAUACCCUACCUGUAAUCAUCGCAGCUGACCUAUCUGACAAACAGGAAAGUCAACUUUUGAGUGUACUCGGAGAACACAAACAUGCAAUUAGAUGGUCUGUAACUGAUCUAAAGGGAAUUGACCCAUCUAUUUGCAUGCAUCGCAUUCACCUAGAAGAAAAUGCAAAACCAACUCGUGAAAUGCAAAGGAGACUUAACCCUAACAUGAAAGAGGUGGUCAAGAAAGAAGUAGUAAAGUUGCUAGAUGCUGGAAUCAUUUAUCCUAUCUCUGAUAGCAACUAGGUGAGUCCGACUCAAGUAGUACCAAAGAAGUCGGGCAUUACUGUGGUUGAAAAUGCAGAAGGAGAAUUAAUGCCUACAUGCACGAUCNNNNNNNNNNNNNNNNNNNNNNNNNNNNNNNNNNNNNNNNNNNNNNNNNNNNNNNNNNNNNNNNNNNNNNNNNNNNNNNNNNNNNNNNNNNNNNNNNNNNNNNNNNNNNNNNNNNNNNNNNNNNNNNNNCCCUUGCUCUUCAAGGGUCGACUCUUUAACAACAUGAGUCGACCUUUACACUGUUUCCUCUACAGUUUCUUGUAUUCUGCUUUGGAUGCACCACACUUGUGCCCACAUGGUAAUCAUCCGCUCCUCCCACACUCUGCUAGAUCCAACUAAUGACAGUAGCUGAGUCGCUCUUAAGCACUAAGGUAUUGACCUGCAACACACAUCAAGCAUACUUUAGGCCGGUAUAGGCAGUCCUCAAUUCUACCUCGAGGAUAAAGGUAUCGAAAAUCUGGAGCCGUCUGAACCCCUGAUGAUGAAGCCAGCUCCCUCUCACUUUCUCUCUCCUUCCCCUAACGCCAUUUGCACCGUUUGAUUCCCGUGAUGACACCCCUACCGACCAUCCUCUUUUGGCAGGUCAUUCACGACUUUGGACCCCUAAUCCUUGCUUAUAUUGGAUCCCCCUUCCCUUGACCUUGUUGAUUGCCCCUUGGUUCGGGUCAGAUUCAGGAUGUUAGGCACCUUGCUAGUGGAAUUGGGCGUGACCUGCUUUUCUCAGCUUUGAUGGAAGUUGGCUUUGGAGAGCUUGCUUGAUCGGUUUCUCUGCACUUUUCACAUUCAACCGCUGCUCAUGAGCUUCUAGUGAGCCUGUUAACUCAUCCAUUGUCAUUAUGGAUAAAUCCUUCGACUCUUUAAUUGUUCAAACCAUACUAUUAGUAUUCACAAGACUAAUCACUUGCGAUGACAAUGUGUUCAAAUGUUGCUAUUAGUAUUCGCAAGAUCCUUUCUGCCAUAGCAAUCUCCAUUUGCUCUCAUUUAGUUUGUCAAGGCCAACACUCGAAAUAUUAGGAAAUAAUAGUUUUGACAUUUAUCAUUUGCAAAAGCUCAAAUUGACAUCUCAAAGUUUGAAGGCUCAUAUUUUUAGCUAAAUUCGUUUUCAUUUGUUCUUCAUUUCCUCAAUAUUUUUUCUAAAAAAUAAAAUACAAAAAUAAAAUGAUUCGAGCCUAAAUUCGGUUCUGUUUCAGCCUUUAUUCGGGCUCAGGCUCAGUCAGACCAGUGACAUACCCGAGCCCGGCCCAAAAAAUAAAUUCGGACUCUGUUUCAGCCCUUAUUCGUAUCUACGCGUGCUUGGUAUGUAGCCUAUUCCUCGGUACCUUCCAAAUUUUUUAUAUGAACCCAUGUAUGCAUUUCUAAUAGCUACAAACUUGCUAACCACAUAUAUGUUUUCAGGACUAGGCCAAAUUUUUCCUUUGAACAGCCCCAAACACCUUAUCUUAAUUCAUCCGCAAAUAUUUUUCACAUAAUCUCACGAAACCAAUGAGAAUAGGAAGGGCAAACUUGUGCAAUCCAAUGAAAUAUCACCUUUUCUACCCUGAUACCCAUAAAAGACACAAACAGCAAUUUCAGCUUACAGGUAAUCACUACUGGGGAUAACAGCCUUUAUCCCAGAACACAAUUUCCUUAUCCUGGAACCACCAGUAUCCACCCGAGUAACUCCAAUUUAUCCCCACUUCCCCCCUAUUCUCCAACCAAACUGGAUCUCAUGACCUACCAUGGAAAAAGGAGAAGCAAUCCAAGGACAAGAUGUUGUUAUCCUCAAUGAGUAUAACUAAUUCAAGAAUAAUGUAGGAUAAGGCUUGUCUUUUUUGGGAUAAAUCAUUUUUAUCCUGUCUCAUGAUUAUGCUGUACAAUUGCACUAACUGAUAUUAUAAUAACUAUCUUGAAAGCGAGCGAUCCGUGCCUUAUUCUUUAUCAAAAAAAUAUUAUAGUAAUUACUUUUGGAUUAAAUGACUAACAAGACUUUACCUUCUUGCUUGGUUACCCUUAAAGAUAAAUUAUCCCCCGGAUGCCAACAAUCCGCUAAACACCAAUUGUCCCAGACCUGACCAUAAUUGUCAAGGACCAGUAACUGCGUCCCACUGAAACAGUCCAUUUGUCAAUUGCCAUUAAUUCCACGGAUUAUGCAGGUAACUGCCUUAUCCCAACCUCUUAUUCACUUUCCAUAUGCAUUAAUCCUUCAAGGGCAUGAAUGUUACAAUAGGAGGCAAGGUGGGCCUUUAUCCUCCAAGCUUACAAAAUGGAGAAGCAAACAAACAAACAGACAGAUAAAAAGCAUGGGGAGUUCGUGAAAACAAUGUUCCCUGUUUUGGGUGCAUAUAUUCAUUGUGUUUGAAACUUUACUAGACUGGCAGACAGACAGACUUGCUCACCAAACUGUCAAAGAUUUAUACAAGAAGAAUAUACCCCCUGGAUUAAUUUUGCAUAGGACAUCAGAAGCUAUAUAAAUAGUCAGAAAGUCAUAAAGAAAUUCUGAAUGCAUGUAGAAUAGUUUUUUGAAUUGGUGUGGUUAUACGGAACUAUUAAAAAUAUCUUAUAAAUAAAUAAUCUUUUGAAAAAAAAUCAAUCAUCGCAUCUUGGAUUUCAUGAUCCAUGGAUACAUGUACAGGCAAAAGGACUUGUACACAACCCCAACACAUUUGACAUAUAUAUGAAUGCACACAAAAAAUACUUUUUUUUAGAUGAAAAUACUAUUAUGGAAGAGAUCUUGCACAGUGAUAUGCAACUUUAAAUUCAGAAAAAAAUACAAAAUUAAGCCCUUAACACUGCCUAUUCUUUGGGAAGCUGCUCUCGAACAUAAGAUAGCGAGCUCCAAUUCACCUUGUUGACAAAUUGCUAAUCAACUUAUACACAACACUAGGUAUAUGUUUGGCCGUGAGCGAAAAAGAGGUAUCAGCAGGCUUCUCAGCUGGGCAGAAUCUUAUCUGUCGAAAGAAUGUAGAUGCUAAGAAAUACUUCAAAAGCAAUAAAUUUAUGUCAUGAAAAAAAUACCUCUUUAUUAUGUACAGAAAUGUCAGACCUCUUCUAAUACAAUGUCAACCUUUUCAAAUAUCAAUUCUUUCCCACCCUAGUAGUUUCUCUUGAAUGCCAGGCCAAGUUGGUGCAGUGCCUACUUUCUUCCCCACCUCCUAAUCAAUUCAACUCAUAGGUAUGGUUUUAAUUACUACGCAGGAACCAUUGCAUUCUCCAAACAGUAUAUUAAAUCUUCAUCCAUGUUUUGCAUCGGCCAUUACUCCAGUGGAAGAAAUAGUAAAUGCUGGAUUGAUUUUUUUUCUCCUUGACCGCAAAAAUGUUCAGAGCUAAAAAGGAUGUUUGUUCUUUUCCACUUGUAUAUGAACCGAGCAUAAUCUUCUAUAAUAGCAGGAGUCUUCAGCAUCAUACAUGAUAAACCAUGCCGACCUCAAUCAGGGAGGCAUGUGGGAUCCCAAGUGCGACGGCUGGCCUGCGAGAGUUACGCCGAAGAAACCCGUACACAACAUCAAUCACAAACUUCUUGAUAAAUGAUGAGGACUCAUGAGCCACCACACAUGUAUGGCCCAUCAUGUAUGACACACCAGCCUCCCUCUCGUCCGCCAAUUCCCUCACCUCUUGCCUCACAUCUGCACCAACCGCCUCUUUGAAUCGCACCCUCUUCUUACUUCUCUCAGUCCUUUCAGACCCCAUCACAGCAUCCACCACCAGGUUAGAUGGCUGACCAACCACUGACAUCUCACCAUUAACCAACGAAUCCCCCACUUCCUGCUGCAGAUAUUCUGCCACUUUCAUGAGCAGCUGAUUCUCAAACUCGUAACUGUCCCUUCCUCCAUCCUUGUACCCAUACCUCACAAUGCACCGAAAGAGGCGAUACUCUGGUGGGCCAAUCCUUCCAAUCAAGAAGCGCUCAUCAACUGGAACUUUUGGCACUGUAAGUGUCCGUAAGCAGACAAAGAUGAGGAUGCGAUGGAAUGCAGGAAAGUUUGUGACAAAGUGAGCAAACAUGGGAGGGACACCAGUCAUGAUGUUGGAGUAUACAAGGCCAACUCCAGGCACUCGAACAAGGCCAAGGCUGGGGCUGAUGCUGAGGAGAUAGUCGAGGCAGACCUUGUUCUGUAGCUCGAAGGCCUGUUUCUUAGCAGUGCCAUAGUGCCAUGCGGACAUAACAAGCAAAAUGAUUAGUGAAAAGAUGAGGGGAAACCAGCCUCCAUGAGGAACUUUGACAAGGCAUGCGGAGAAGUAGAGGAGCUCCAAGGAUCCGAAGGUAAUAACAAAGAGGAGCACCAAGAAUAUGGAUCGCUUCCAGACAGUAGUGAUGAUUAGGAACAUAAGACAAGUUGUUACAAACAUUACAAUAAUCACAGCAAGGCCUGCAAAAGGAAAUAUAUGUCAUAUGCUCACAUAACACCAGUCCACUCUGUUUCGUUAUAAUCAAAAUGGAAAGUGAAGAAACACAUACCAUAAGCAUUUCCUAUCAUAUCAAUGUCUCUAAAGCCAAUGGUGACAGCAAGACAUAACAGCAUGAGAAGCCAGUUCACCUCUGGUAUGUAUAUCUGCCCAUGUACAUGGCUCGAUGUGUGUAUAAUUUUCACACAGGGGAAACAUCCCAAAGCCCUACAUUGACUAAUUAUGGAGAAGGUAGCUGAGAUAAUUGCCUGACUCCCAACAACCGUGGCUAACGUUGCAAUGACAAGCACUGGCCAAAAUACGCUCUCUGGAUUGGGGGAAAACAGAUUGCAGAGAAAGCAUAAGAUUAUAUCACUUAAAAAUGAUUAGUAAACUAGUAGCUCAUGAAUAAAUACUAAAUGUUUUAUAUGAUAAAGCCAUCAUAAUAAAGGACCAGCUUGACCCAGUUCUUACAUCUACAAGUAAAUAAUAGAGGACCCAGCAAAUAUUAGCGAGCAAUAUUAGGUGAAACAAAAAAAGCUCAGAAGGUUAUAGUUGUCAGUAACAAACUAAAUAAUCAUGUAAAUUCCUAACAUUUCCUUCUUCAAUUUUAUAGGAUUAUUAAAGGGACAAGUUAAGAUUUCCUUUGUUGAUGUCCAUGAAUCACUCUAAAAGCAAGUGGUUAAAAAAAGACAGGCACUUUGACUUUUUUUAAUUAUGUAGGACAACAAACGUGAUCUUCAUCUUCCAGUAUGUUCAUAAACAAAGCAUAUCUUAUGUUUCCAUGUCAUAAAACAGGAGCUGUAAGCUAAUAUACCUGGAAGGGCUUUGUAGAAGCUACUGUGGAGGUCCUCCCUAUGCUUUGAUAGGUAGGCAGCUUCACCCAUGUAUGCCACUACCAAGCAGGGAUAAACUACUGCUGUAAAUGCCACCUGCCACCAGAACACAUCUAACAUAAAUAUAAAUUAACACUGAAUAAGCACAGUAUUUGGCAGACUAGAGGUAUAUUAAUGAUAAUAAUCAACAUGAUAGUAUGAAGAAAAUAUGGAAUGCACAACAAGAUAACUUGGGAAUUCAAGAAAAUGAGAUCACAAGUCUCAAACAACCACAAGAAUAUAUGUAAAUGACUCUGAAUAUUGAUGCGUAAUUGGCGAAGCAAAAUGCAAGGCCUCUGCUAUCUUUUGCAUCACCAUAAAUAGACCAUGAUUUUGAAUUUUGGCCAUACUUGGAAACUGGACUUGAUUAUGCUAAGAAUCAGUCUGAAACUAGGUUGGUUUCAAAGUUUUGGCCAAAAAUGACAUACUGGCCCAAUUUAAUGUGUAUAUUGACUGUUUGUAUUACUUUAAAUACAUAAUGUGUAUAUUGGCUUGUUUACUUUAAAUACAUAAUCAUAUAUUAACUUCAUUAAUUUUUUAGUUUUAUCUCUUUUUCUGGCCAAAAAUCCUAUACUCAAAGUGUAAGUACAGACAUUGAAGCUUAAUUGGUCCAGCCUAAACUGAAAUUGAUUUUUCAAACCUUGAUAAACAAAAUUACGAUUGUUGUCAUUUUAUCCAAUCCUAGACAACUAGUUGUUUCAUGAAUCAUUAAAGUGAAAGUUACAAAUAAUACAUUUAUAAAUCAAAUCCAUCUGUUUCCCUUCUCCAGAAGUGAUAUUCAUAGUGCAUAACACUAUGACAACAAUAAAACAAUCCGGUACCCAAUUAAUGGAUAGAGUUGCAUAUAUUUUAUGAGUACAUGUCUUCUACAUACAAAGAUGAGAGAAUCCUCAUCCCUUCCAUACUUGCCUCCUCUAAUUGAUGUGUCCUCGUAUCUUCCCAAAUGCAUAAAAUGCAAGGAUAUUUGUAGUUUUACCUUCAAGUCAGGGUACAUCCAUACAUGUGAAAGUGCAUGUGAGAUACCAAGAUAUUCACAAAAUAGAGAUAACCUUUUGAAUGAUAUCAUCAUUCUAGAGUUUGCAUCUUGCGGUCAUGCUAAAUAUUUGAAUUAAUUAAGAACUCAUGAACUGAAGAGGUAUACAUGGAAUCAUGGAGGACAAGAUGCAUAAAGCAAACCCUGUACUAAUAAGGGUUGCCUAUUAAAAUUAUGAUCAUGAUAUCAUCAGGUAAAAGGUAGAAGAGCAAAGUUACGACGCAUAUAUCUUAGAAAAUUGGUGCAUAACAAAAUCUCCAGAUAGAUACUAGAUAAGAAGAUCAAUUUUAAGAACAAUUUGGUAUUCUUGAUGUGGGGAGGUUCGGAUAUCUUUAGCCUAACAGUGUUUGAAGUAAGAUAAAAGCUAGGAAGCCACACCUAGCUCUCCCAACUGAUAUGCCAGUCAUCUGAAACUGGCCACACCUGUUCCCUGAAAGCAAAAAGAUUAUCGCAACAGUCCUCUUAAUCCAUAUACCAACUACCUUUGCCCCACCUCAUACAAUUCCAAUCCCCUGGUUGUCAAGUUCCCUGUCCCUCUCACCUCCUCCCUACUUUCUUUUCCCUCUCUCAUGCAGCUUCAGACCACAUUGAUCCCCUUACCCCGUAUCCCCUCUUAUCUAUCUCAUGGACCUUCCUUCUCUCCACUGCUGAUCUAUAAAUCCAAUCCACCCUCACUCCAACCCCAGUACAAGUCAUAAGAAGGCCUUCAAUUGUAGGCCUCCAUGAGAAGGUGGUAUCACAAGAGAGUGAAUGGUAAUUUCCUGCAAAAAAAAAAAAUUGGGCUGAAUAUAUAGAGGCUGAGAAGGCUUCUCGUGCCUUCUCAAUGCCUCUUCUCUCAUUUUUUGUAAAAUCUUGAAAACUCACAAAAAGAGAGGGGAUUUUGAUGAUUUCAAGCUGGAUCCAAACCAAAGAAAUGUAUCGUUCCUCUCUCUCCCUCUUCAUUUCUUCUCUUUUCUUUUCAUUUUGAUGCCGGCAGUAAAUUAGAAAAAUAGGAAAGGUCAUGCCAAAUUUUUCAAUUUUGGCAUGAUUUCAUGCUACUAUUGUAGAUCUGGAAAUGAUCUACAAGACACCGAAAUCUUUAUUUUUUAAUAAAUCUGUAAUUUUUAAAUUUAAAAAUGUAUAUUUUUGGAUUAAAAAUAAGAAAUAAAUUAAUAAUAAUAAAAUACUAUAAAAUAACAAGCAUCUUUAGGGGUAUGCAUGCUACACUCGACCAACAUUUAAUGUCACUUUAUUCAAGUUUAGGUACAAUCAUGCGCAUAGUGAUAACGGCCCAAAUUUGAAUAAAAUCGAAAAAUAAGUGGGCUUCCACAUAUGACCAUGGGCUGAGAAAGAGACAUGCAGCAUGGCUGCAUAUCUUUAUUUUUAGAUGUAACUUGGCUAUUGCAAGAACUAAAAACAUUAUGAGGUUGGAGCAAGUGAUGCUUUUCGAUAAUACUCAACUUAUUGGAACUGUUCCAUGAUUACGCAAAGGGCAUCGAGACAGCAUACUCAACUUUAUGAAAAAUUUUGGCUUCAAACUUUCGGCUUUCAUUUUAUUUAAAAGAACCUCAGCUAACAAAAUAACCUUCAACAUGCUAGCUUCUUCAGUUUGACAAAAGUUCUUUUAACAAAACUAUUGCAAUGAUAUGGAAUGUAAAGUUAGUUCCUUGAUCUUGAUCAAAUUUAUGAUUCCAUAAAUUUGACAACAAAAACUAUUAUCAGAAAUAUUAAACCAGCAGCAGCUAAAGAUGAAGAAUCUUAAUUCUAAAAAAAGAAUAGCAGUAGUCCAAGCAUAUUUUAUAUUAUAUGCCUGUACAUAGAUACAAAUGUAUUUUCUGAAUGUACAUGUAUAUACGUACGCAUGUGCACAUAACUGAAAAUUUUUAGCCCAACAAAUAAACUAGUAAAAGAUAAAAAGAGUUUCUUGGAUGUAAAAGUCAUGUUAUAAAGAUCAAAGGAACUUUUGAACCUAUCUUUUUUCAUUACUCGGAUACCUUCUAAAUUAUAUAGUCAACAUGUUUGCGUCUAAAAAAUGACCUUACCCUGAUUGAAAGCUUUGAGAAGUGCCCCAGGUCAGCAAACAUGGCCUCAGCACCUGGUCAAGCAUACCCAGUUUAUGAGCCCAAGUGAAAGAGUAAAGACUAUAUUCUACAUAGACAUAUACAUAUGUACAUACAUGAAUAUAUAUAUAUAGAUGUUUAUUUGUACACAGACACAUAUACAUGUACAUAUGUUUGUAUGUUUGUACAGAUAUAUGUAUAAAUAUGUAUAUAUGCAUUUGUAUACAACCAAAAUGCCACCAACCUGUAAUGCAAAGAACAACACCUCCAAGUGAACUCCAGCCAUCUUUUCCAGCUUUCUUAAAGAAGUUAUAAACAUAAUAUGGUGAUAGAGCACGGACAACACCAGGAUUCCACUUGAAUAUGUUGUAAAUCCCAAUUCCACUAAUGCAGCCAAGCCACGCAAUCAAGAUUGGAGCAAAAAGAAAGCUGACACGAUGUGUCCCAUAGUGUUGCAAUGCAAAAAGGCCCACUAACACAAUGCAGGACACAAAUACAAUGCAAUCUGUAUGCCAAAAGAUAGUUCAAUAAGACAGAACAGUUGUAGAUGAUAAUGCAUGUACUAUUGGGAUAAUAUUUUCCUGUUUGGGUUAAGUAUGUAAAUCUAUGACAAAAUAAAAUAUAUACAUGCACUAAUAACAACUCCCGGGCAGAAAGAAAUUAUCUGGGAAGGAAUGGUAUAACAGUACCAAGGACAAAAACAGAUCAUAGAUCAAAGCAUAAAAGCUGAUAAUGUAAGAGCUCUACAUAAUAACGAUAGCAUACUCCAGUAAGGAGCCUUCAGUGCAUAUUCAAAAACAACGCUGUAGACUUACAGCAUCAGUGAGGUUAUCUUUCCAGGCGCUGGUGACUUUUCAAAAGUAAGAAAUUAUCAUAUGGAAGAACCCACAGUUCAGGUAGAGAAGUUGAUGCUUACUUUCAUGUAGUCUGGGAAUCUUAAUUUUGAGGCCAGAUACUGCAGAGAGGACUGGAAAAAUGCAAAUGAAACAAAGGUUAGUGAAAAUUUCACAAAGGUGUUAAUAACUUGAUAUAAAAACUUCUAAAAGUAUCAGAAUCUUCGUGUUCUACAAACAUAUACGAAGAAAAAAGGUUUCCAUCAUUUUCAGCAAAUUUGAGCAAGAGAGUCAGUCAGCUACUACUACAAAAAUUCUAAAUUUCAGCACUAAACAAUUUUACUAUCUGUAAAACCUUCAACCUGUCAUGUGAAACUAGAACAGAAAUGCUAUCAAAUAUGAGGUGGAUUUCCCAAAAUUGCCAAACUCGAAGCCUGCAAUCGACCUGUCAUCCCAUAUUUCUCAACACAGAAAAAGAAGAGAGAGAGAGAGAGGGAGAGAAUGUUUUGCAGAUUAACGUUACCAGAUCUCAAGGUUUGCAAAUACCAAUAGUACCAGUGUACCGGUGAAGACCGGUUUCGGUACGGUACCGGUCAGAAUCGGUACCGGUCGGAACCGGUACCGAACCGGUUGAGAUAGAAAAAAAACCUACGUCCGACGUGCGGACGCGCACGCACCCGCACGCCUGCGCGUUAAAGCCACUCUGUGCAGCAUUUAAAGCCCACGCGGGCUGCCCCACGUAGGCUUGCUGCCCCGUGCGGUGAGCCCGCACAGGGAAUCGAGCCAGCGCAGGUAACCGCGUGCGGGCACGGUUCCCUGCAAGCGGGCUCGCGAUUCCCCACUCGUGCCCAGUUCCCCACUCGGCCCCACGCGCGGGGGUUUUUUUUCCCCUUAUUUUUUUCUUCCCCUUCUUCUUCCCGAACCCUUCUUCUUCCCCUCUCUCCUCUCUUCUCCUCUCUUUCCCGAUUCUCCCGUUCUCCCACGAGCAAGGAAGGAAGAGAGGUUCUGCUCGCGAGCAAGGAACCUUUCUUUAUUUUUUCUUCCCCUUCUUCUUCCCGAACCCUUCUUCUUCCCCUCUCUCCUCUCUUCUCCUCUCUUUUCCAAUUCCCCCGUUCUCCCGCGAGCAAGGAAGGAAGAGAGGUUCCGCUCGCGAGCAAGGAAGAGAGGUCCUCCUUUUUCCGGUACUUGCUUUUUCUUCUUCCCCGCUUCUUCUCUUCUUUCUUUCUCUUCUUCCCUGCUUCUUCUCUUCUUUCUUCCUCUUCUUCCUCCUCUUCUUUCCUGCUUCUACCGGUGCCGAUCGCACCGGUUUCAGUUCGGUACUGGUUUUCACAGCCGAACCGUACCGGUAGCUGUCAGCACCGAUUCGGUACAACCUGAACCGACCGGUUCCAGUCAAUUCGGCAGACCAUGCCAGAUCUUUAAAAACCUAUAACUGUCAUAAAUUUGUAAGCUAAAGAAUAUGGAUUUCGUAUGUCAAGAAGCAUUUAGAAUAAAUAAUAGUUCAUCAAAACAUCAAAUCAUUCCCCAUUCAAAAUAAAGACCUAUUUAUAGGAUUUUUUUGGUAAAUAAGACCUAUUUAUUUGAUUGAAGUAGACAUAUUAUAUCAUUUUUAACAAGCAGGCCAACCAUACCCGACAUUGCUGGGGUCAAAACACCAUCACCGAUAACCAUGCUUGUCCCCAGAAGCACAAAAAGAAGCAAUGCAAUUCGAGAAGUCCGAUGCUUCUCAAAAAAAUUCUUCACCAACAAACUAGUCCGUGUCUCCUUGCUAGAUGUUUCCAGUUUAUAAGCAGAUAAAUGCUCGUUGGCAGCUUGAGGGGUAGCCAGAAGUCCCAUCUUUGUUUUCCGGCACAUUAAUGAAUACAAAGCAAAUGUCCCACCUGCACACGUUAUAACAACUAAGAAAAGGGCUUGAACCAAUUCAUAGAAGAAAGAAGAAUUUUAGACAGACAUUUUGUGGAUCCUGGGACCACCUUCGCCGUUGUCAUCUGCUCCUAACACAAAGAUGAUGUACUUGCAAAGAGGAAUCAGAGUCAGAGUCCAGAAUACCAGAGAGAGGACUCCAAGGACUUCAGCUUCUUCCUCGUGGAGGCGUAGCUUUCCCGAGAAAGUGCUCUUGUAGACGUAGAUGGGUGAAAUGCUUAGAUCACCAUAUACAACACCAAAGCUCUGGUAGGCCAACAAAAGAGUGGUUCUGUAUGCUUUCUACAAGUGAAAUAGCAAAACCCAUCAGGUCUUUCAUCCAAACAAACAGACAAGGGAAAAAUUGAUGAAGUGGAAUCAAUAAAAUUUAAAAAAGGGUUGGUAUGAAUGGAUUUGACAAAUUCUACAAUAAACCAAAAGAAAAAAAAGGAAUCAGAACAAUCUGAGAAAUAAAAAAUACGAAGAAUCAGAGGGAUAAGAUAAAGGGUGUGAUUGGAGGAAACUAAAUGUAAGAAAAAAGAAAGAAGAUAUCCAAUAAAAAAACAAUGAUUAACUUGAUAUUUCUGCAGUUAAGCAGGUUCUUAAGCAUGAAAAAGACCGCUCAAGAUAGUUUGGUAGCCAGAACAUAUAAUCCAUGGAACUGUUAUCUUACGCGAUAACCAGAUUAAACCAAAAUUUACAGAAUUGCGUAAGUGCAGUGGAUUAAAAAUUUCAUACUUUUCCUCCAAUAACACUCCAGCAAAAACAUUAUAGUUAAUUGUUGGAAAACAGAAUAUAAACUUAGUUAAACGAAUCGUUGAAAAUCUUCACAGAUAAUAAAAAAAAUUGAGAACCCAUGGGGAAUAAUGAUAUGGCUUUAAUAAUCAAGACACUGGUGAUACUAAAAGAAAAUCAUAUUUUUCAAAAUUUAAGAAGCAAAUGCUUUAAAAAUUAUUCUCUUAAAAAUAAAAUUCUAGAUAAUUGAACGCGGAAAUAUUAAACUUCCAUUGCAAUAAUCAUUAUUUCGUUAAAAUUACACACACACACACACACACACAUACUUAAGGAUUUCUCAGAAUCUUAAAAGGAAAGACUUUGAAAAAAUAAAAUAAAAUGAUCUGAUCACCCGAGAAUUUCGCAGUCCGCAAAUCCCUUAACAAGAAAAUAUAAAGAAAAUUAAACAAGAACAAAACCUUAUCUCUUUUUCAUUGACCAAAAUGUCAGUCAGCAUACAAAACAGAUUUUUUUCAUAAUUUUCUAAAGAAAACAAUUUGAAAUAAAUAAGACCUGAAACAAAAUCUGUACAUUUGUAUACUGAAUGACCAUAAAAAUUACAUUUUUGUAAUCAAGAUUCCAGUACAGAUAAUAAAAAUUAGAUUUUCUCAGAAUUUUACGAAGUAAACACCUCAACAAAUUAAAAUUUAAUUCUAUAAAAAGUAAAAUGUCAACAGCUAUCUCCCGUAAAAUCAGAAGAAUUCUUCACUGUGCCCAGUAGACACCAGAAGAGUACACUCGCAUUCAAGAAAUUUGAUAAAAGGAAAAUGUUUUAACAUGCAACAAAUAAAACAAGAACAGCAAGAUAAGUCAGUAAAAUCACUGAAAAAAUCAACCUUCAAACAACAAGAGGAAGGACAAAGAAAAGGGGAAAUUUAAGAGCGCCGAAGAAACACUCACCCAAGAGCGACUCCCGGGAGACCGAGAGCCGGACUCCGGAUCCAUCACCCGAGCCCCGGUCACAAACCCCUUAAUACUCCCACUCCCGAACAACGCCACCGCCGAAAUCCACCGCCAGGGGAUAAAAAUUUCGCCCGGAAGAAGGAAUUCCGAACGGAGAGCUCGAUCGAACGCCUCUCGAAGUUUCGUUCGCGUCGCGCGCCGAGAGAGAGAGAGAGAGAGAGCGGUUAAGGGGGAAGACGUGUCCUAGAAGACUGUGAGAGAGAGAGAGAGAGAGAGGAGGNNNNNNNNNNNNNNNNNNNNAGAGAGAGAGAGAGAGAGAGGGAGCGCCAAAACGUCUCUCCUCUUUCAGGGGCAUCUUGAGCCCACUUCCUUUUAUAGCCAAAUUUGAUAUUCUACACCCCCAAAUUUUUUUUUGUCCUCGCACUCUGAUACUGUGUAAACAGUACAGUGUACUGCACGGCCUCGACUAGCCUGAGGACUGGCUUCCAAGCCUACAGGAAUUUGGUUACUUUCUGGUUCGACUCGAGCUCAAGAUGCCUCUGAUAGGCUAGUUAUGAAAAGGAAUAAGAUAAUGUCAUUGAUAGGCAAGUUGUGAAAAGGAAUAGAGGAUGACAACCUUUGAUUCAUUGAAGGGUUUCUUUAUAGCUAAGGAAUAUUUUGGUUAUAUAAGAUAAUAACGUUUUUGUUUCCAAUGUAAGUAAGAACUAAAUUUGGUUGCUACCUAAACUUUUCGACAAGAAACCAUCAGAGCUGGCCACUUCUUCUAGAGGUGGUUGUGAUAUCGAAAUUUAAAUACCUACUUUAGUAUGGCACAACAUAUAAUAAUUAUUUAGAUUAGUAAAUGCAGAACACCUCACAAGAUAUAAGUUGUUUUGUGAUUAUAUAUAUAGAGGAUUUAAGGUGGAUUUCUGGUUGCCAAUGACAAUUUUAUCUUAAACAAAUUUGCUGAUCUUUAUUUCUGUAUACUUAAAACAAAAAAUAACUUUUCAUAAUUUAAUUAUAUAUUUAUGACAUCCUAAAAACUUCAUAUGGAUAGAGAAUGACAUAGUAGAUGCCAAAUUAAAAUAGAAUUACUAUUUAUUUUUGUAUAAAUAGAAGAAUGAAGAUAGCGGAUCUGAUUUUAGGGUAUCUGCAAGUUAUUCCACUUGAUAUAAUCAGAUUGAAGCAAAAAAUAGUCACAUUUCAAACUAAGAAGUUCUUUAUAUUUAGAUCUUAAUCUUAAGUUUGAAUUAUUAUUUUAUUUAUUUAUCAACCAAGUAAAUUGGUGUAGCCAAACAUCAAGAGAAGAAAAAAAAAAAAAAAGCACCACCCCAUCCAUGAAUAGCCACAAAUUAAAGCGGCGGACAAAAUUUAGAAGUCAGAGAGUAACAAUAGCACUAACGUUUUUUUAUUAUUAGUUUUAAAAACUUUUACCGUUCCCAACGUUUACACCUACCCACCUCCCAUUUCUCCGAUGCGGCCAAACUACCUUACGGAUAUCCUCAUAGACAUUCAAAAACGAGCGCGUCAUCCCGUCUGUCCGCAUACGGCACCAACCCUCGACCCGUUGGACGGGCGGGAUGUUUUCAGGUAGCCAUAUGGACGGUAAAUAUUAUCUCGGCAUAUAAAUAUUUAUGCGGUGCUUUGGAUGAAAGACCCAUCACCGGUUUGCUGUUUGGUCUCAAAUUAGAGUCCUAAUGGAUAUAGAAAAGGUGACAGCUGUUGGUUUCAUUAUUCCUUUCCAUGUGGGGCCCGCGUGGGAAUCCUCCGCUUCCGUGUGUCCUCUUAUGGGUACAAGCGCAAGCAAAUGGCAGCCUACCGUACGAUGCGGAUAUGAUCUACCGCUGUAGCUGACAUGAUGAAAGAUAUGGUGUAUGUUUUGGAUCAGCUGUGGGAAGGAAACAGCGGAUAUGGUAUCUUACGGACACUGACCUGGCACGUUGCCAGUGUUGGGUAGGACUCGUUUGAGUUUGGGCUUGACAUGAUCUUUACCCAAUUCAGGCAGGAUAUGUGUACCAAACUUUAGCAUGGAAUUUAAAUGAUGAUGGAUUGAGUUGGGUUGGUUAGGUGGGUUAUG